rnacentral:lncRNA from 1 species
CAUAUAUGAAAACAUCACAUUGAGGCCUGGAUCAGUGGCUCACACCUGUCAUUCCAGCACUUGGGGAGACCAAGAUUGUGCCACUGCACUCCAGCCUGGAUGACAGAGUGAGGCUCUGUCUCAAGCCAGAAACAAAACAAAACGAAACCACCACAUCACAUUGAACCUCGUGAAUGCAUAAAACCACAGUUUGUCAAUUAAAACGGGGGGUGUUUCUCUUCCUUCUGCCUCUGUGGGAUCCUUCCAGCUGGUGGAGGGGUGGCCAUCGACUGGAUAUUGGCCUCCAGAGAUGUCCAUGUUCCCAUCCUCAGAACCUGUGACUGUGUGGCCUUACGUGGCAAAAGUGCUUUGUAUUAAUAGAUA